rnacentral:rRNA from 1 species
CCUACGGGUGGCAGCAGUGAGGAAUAUUGGUCAAUGGACGAGAGUCCGAACCAGCCAAGUCGCGUGAAGGAUGACUGCCCUAUGGGUUGUAAACUUCUUUUAUCUGGGAAUAAAAUGUUCCACGUGUGGGAUUUUGUAUGUACCAUAUGAAUAAGGAUCGGCUAACUCCGUGCCAGCAGCCGCGGUAAUACGGAGGAUCCGAGCGUUAUCCGGAUUUAUUGGGUUUAAAGGGAGCGUAGGUGGAUUGUUAAGUCAGUGGUAAAAGUUUGCGGCUCAACCGAAAAGUGGAGUUGAAAAUGGCAGGCUUGAGGAGAGGAGAGGGGGGCGGAAUGCGUGGUGUAGCGGUGAAAUGCUUAGAUAUCACGAAGAACUCCGAUUGCGAAGGCAGCUCACUGGACUGCAACUGACACUGAGGCUCGAAAGUGUGGGUAUCAAACAGGAUUAGAUACCCGUGUAGUC